rnacentral:tRNA from 1 species
GGGCGGUUAGCUCAGUUGGAUAGAGCGUCGGCCUCCGGAGCCGAAGGUCACGCGUUCGAAUCGCGUACCGCCUGCCA